rnacentral:rRNA from 1 species
GACGCCGCGUGUGGGAGGAAGCCCUUCGGGGUGUAAACCACUGUCAGGGGGGAAGAACCCCGGUCAUGGAAAUACCAUGGUCGGCUGACGGUACCCCCAGAGGAAGCGCCGGCUAACUCCGUGCCAGCAACCUCGGUGACUGAGCGGGCUGGCAAGGCGCAUA